rnacentral:rRNA from 1 species
AGCAGCAGCCACGGGAAUACGUAGGUGGCAAGCGUUGUCCGGAAUUAUUGGGCGUAAAGGGCUCGCAGGCGGUUUCUUAAGUCUGAUGUGAAAGCCCCCGGCUCAACCGGGGAGGGUCAUCGGAAACUGGGAAACUUGAGUGCAGAAGAGGAGAGUGGAAUUCCACGUGUAGCGGUGAAAUGCGUAGAGAUGUGGAGGAACACCAGUGGCGAAGGCGACUCUCUGGUCUGUAACUGACGCUGAGGAGCGAAAGCGUGGGGAGCGAACAGGAUUAGAUACCCGUGUAGUCCCUGUCUCUUAUAC